CCUACGGGAGACAGCAGUGAGGAAUAUUGGUCAAUGGACGAGAGUCUGAACCAGCCAAGUAGCGUGAAGGAUGACUGCCCUAUGGGUUGUAAACUUCUUUUAUAUGGGAAUAAAAUGUUCCACGUGUGGGAUUUUGUAUGUACCAUAUGAAUAAGGAUCGGCUAACUCCGUGCCAGCAGCCGCGGUAAUACGGAGGAUCCGAGCGUUAUCCGGAUUUAUUGGGUUUAAAGGGGGCGUAGGUGGAUUGUUAAGUCAGUUGUGAAAGUUUGGGGCUCAACCGUAAAAUUGCAGUUGAAACUGGCAGUCUUGAGUACAGUAGAGGUGGGCGGAAUUCGUGGUGUAGCGGUGAAAUGCUUAGAUAUCACGAAGAACUCCGAUUGCGAAGGCAGCUCACUGGACUGCAACUGACACUGAGGCUCGAAAGUGUGGGUAUCGAACAGGAUUAGAGACCCGGGUAGUC
rnacentral:rRNA from 1 species